UAGCCUUCAGAGAAGCCCUUUUAAGCUCACU
rnacentral:piRNA from 1 species